CUGUUUGCCAGCCUCUGAGAGGGAUGAAGAUAUUGUUUUCUUUGAUCAGAUUAUGCCGGUAAAGGUUUUCUGGUUUACCCUAUAGGGCUUGUAGCUCAGUUGGUUAGAGCGCGCGCUUGAUAAGCGUGAGGUCGGAGGUUCAAGUCCUCCCAGGCCCACCAGUUACACGAUGCUAAAAGUUGCUAUAUUGGGAGAGUUGAUAAUCCCUUACAGGAAAUUAUUGCCCUUAAUAAAACUUUAUUUUCUAAAAGCAUUCAGAGCUGACAUAGAAUAGAGCUGACAUAGAAUUGAGAAUCUGACAUAGGAAUUAUUGAAAUUGUUUUGGAAUUAUUGAAAUUGUUUUCUAUCAUUUUAAAAGGCUAAAAUAUUCUGUCUCUAUUUUUAAAAUAGCAUCAGGUGUUUUGUAAGAGUGUGAAGUUUUUAAGUGUGAGGUUUUUUAUAUUUUAGUGUGAGGUUUUUAUAAGGGUAUGACGUGAGAGCGUUUUGACCUGUUUUAGGGGCCGUAGCUCAGCUGGGAGAGCACCUGCUUUGCAAGCAGGGGGUCGUCGGUUCGAUCCCGUCCGGCUCCACCAUAAUUUGGUUCAUCAUUAUUGUUAGAAGAAUAGUUAUUGCAAGAGAUUGAGAGAUCUCUUUGCUUGUUCUAUUGAAAUUGUGAAGAAGAAGGUAUAUUCAGACGUUUUUUGCUUGAACUCAUUCUUAUGAAAGAGAUUUUUCUUAUGAAAGAGAUUUUUAAGAAUGGAUAGCUUAAAAAGAAGAAUGGAUGGCUUAAAAAGGUGGCUUAAAAAGAUGGCUGUUUUUAAAUGAAAAUAGUUAUUUUUACGCUCUUUUGACGAUUGUUACAACAUUAUACGAUUAAAACAUUAUACGAUAAUGAUAAUAACGAUAAUAAAAAGAGCUUUCAUUAUAAAAAGAGCUUUCAUUAAUAAUAAAGAGCUUCAUUAAUAAUAAGAGCUUCAU
rnacentral:tRNA from 1 species